UUCCGUGUUGACAUCACCCUGCAGCCCAAGACUGGUUGCCCACUGAAGCUAAGCAGGGUUGAGCCUGGUCAGUACCUGGAUGGGAGACCUCCUGGGAAAACUAGGUUGCUGUUGGAA
rnacentral:rRNA from 1 species